CCAGCUUUUGGAGAUUUUCCUCAUAGAAAAUCCCACGGGACGCAAAAUUUUCCCCCUGGGGAAGCGAGGGCUCAUCCCUAAGGGCAAAGCUCGGGACCAGAGCCGCACAUUCCAGGCAGGGAGCGGGGGACAUCGAGGGCACUUUUCCUGGCCCCACCGAAGGGGCACAACCAGGGGGUCCCCACGCAGGGGGACAGCGGGGUCGCCAGCAGCCGGAGCGGUGGCUCGUCCCCUCCUGGGAUGUCCCGGGGCGGUGUCGGUGGAAGCCGCCUCCGAGCAGGAACGAGGAAGGGGGAGCUGGGAACUGGCUCCGUCCCCCGGAUCUCCCGGUGCUCCAACGGCUGCGGGUGGCCGUGGGCCAGCAGCCACCGCUCCAGCAAAAUAUUUACCCGAGUGGCACCGAGCCAUGGACCAGCCUCCCGCCCGCCCGGCACCACGCGGCAAAGCUCGGCAAAACACGGCGCAGCCCAGCUCUGGGUGGCAAAUCUUGGCUCUGGGUGGCAAAUCUUGGCUCUGGGUGGCAAAGCCCGGCUCUAGGUGACAAAGUCCAGCUCUGGGCGACAAAUCUUGGAUCUGCGUGACAAGUCUUGGCUCUGUGUGACAAAACCUGGCUCUGGGUGACAAACUUGUCCCUGUGGCACAGCGCAGUGACCAGCCCGGUGGGGACAAAUCAGGGACAGGCGCCAGCCCAGCCCAGUGUCUUCAUGGAGACCAAAACCUUGGGACAAGGGCCUUGCGGGGACAGCGCAUCGUGGGGACAAACAAACCGGGACGAUCGCACGAUCCAAGGCCUGGCAGGACAGGCACGGCCGCGUGCCCAGCACGACGAGGAGGAGUCACAUCCCUGAAGCCCCAGCAGGGUGGGCAGGGGGCUGCAUCCCCCCGAUCCUGGUGCCAUCGGCGCCCUCAGCAGCCCCGUGUGCCCGCCGGCGCCACGGCACGCGGUGGCAGAUGUCACUCCCGACGCUGGCACGGCCGGGCUGGCACGGCCACCCGGGGCUGGCACGGCCGCCUGGGCCGGGCAGCGGCUCAAGGGCUUUGGCACAGGGUGGCCGGAGCGGAGCCGCGGCUGGAGCCGCCCUGGUUGGCAGCCACCGGCCACCGGCCACCCCCCCCCCCCCCCCCCCCCCCCGUAACACCUUGGAGGGGGAACUUUGUGGGGGAACACGGGGAGGAUAAAGGGGGAAUGGGGGGGAGGGGGCGUGUCUGGGGUGUUCCAGGAGGGAAGGGGUGAAGGCGGACAUCACGUGCCUCAGUUUACCCACCUGUAGCACGUGCCCUCUACAGCCUGAAGCCCCACCUGCCCCCUUCCCUGCGGAGUGGGACCCCAAGAGAGCCCAAAACUCAUCCUGGUGCCCCCACGGAGCCCUGCCAGGGUGGGCUGAAGGGGGGGGCUCCCAGCCCCGCUCCCCCCAGCCCACCCCCUCCCCCCAGCCCAUCGCUGACCCCCUCUCGGGGGGGUCCCGGCCGCCAGCACAGACCAGUUUGCUGCCUCCAUUCCCAGAAGAAAGAAUAAAGUUAAAACAUCUGUUAAUUUAUAAACCAAUUUAACCAUGACUGGUUAAUAAAUAGCUUCCAGCUGGCACCCCCACCCCGCGCCGGGCAAGGGGGGCCGGGAGGGCACAGCCAGGCUCGCCACUCUCGCGCAGCCCCCCCCCCCCCCCCCCCCCCCCCCCCCCCCCCCCCCCCCCCCCCCCCCCCCCCCCCCCCCCCCCCCCCCCCCCCCCCCCCCCCCCC
rnacentral:lncRNA from 1 species